rnacentral:tRNA from 1 species
GGACGCAUGGCCCAGUGGUAAGGCGCUCGCCUUCGAAGCGAGAGAUCGUCGGUUCGAUCCCGGCUGUGUUCA